GAAACAGUGGCUAAGACUGGAUAGGAAGAUAAAAGGCAUCUUUUAUCUUUUAAAAGACCUAGUAAUAGGUAUGCUUUAGGAGGGGCUUGCGCCAUAUUAGUUAGUUGGUAGGGUAAUGGCCUACCAAGACGAUGAUGUGUAGCUGGACUGAGAGGUUGAACAGCCACAUUGGGACUGAGACACGGCCCAAACUCCUACGGGAGGCAGCAGUAGGGAAUUUUCGGCAAUGGAGGAAACUCUGACCGAGCAACGCCGCGUGAAUGACGAAGUACUUCGGUAUGUAAAGUUCUUUUAUCAAGGAAGAAAAGCAAAUGGCGAACCAUUUGUUUGCCGGUACUUGAUGAAUAAGCCCCGGCUAAUUAUGUGCCAGCAGCCGCGGUAAGACAUAAGGGGCAAGUGUUAUCCGGAAUUAUUGGGCGUAAAGGGUGCGUAGGCGGUCUAGUAAGUCAGUGGUGUAAUGGCAACGCUUAACGUUGUCCGGCUAUUGAAACUGCUAAACUUGAGUUAGAUAGAGGCGAGUGGAAUUCCAUGUGUAGCGGUAAAAUGCGUAAAUAUAUGGAGGAACACCAGAGGCGUAGGCGGCUCGCUGGGUCUUAACUGACGCUGAGGCACGAAAGCGUGGGGAGCAAACAGGAUUAGAUACCCUGGUAGUCCACGCCGUAAACGAUGAGUACUAAGUGUCGGGUUAAACCGGUACUGAAGUUAACACAUUAAGUACUCCGCCUGAGUAGUACGUACGCAAGUAUGAAACUUAAAGGAAUUGACGGGACUCCGCACAAGCGGUGGAUCAUGUUGUUUAAUUCGAAGAUACCCGAAAAACCUUACCAGGUCUUGACAUGUUUUUGCAAAAUGAUAGUAAUAUCGUGGAGGUUACCAGAAACACAGGUGGUGCAUGGUUGUCGUCAGCUCGUGUCGUGAGAUGUUAGGUUAAGUCCUAAAACGAGCGAAACCCUUAUCGUUAGUUGCCAGCACGUUAUGGUGGGGACUUUAACGAGACUGCCAAUGAUAAAUUGGAGGAAGGUGAGGAUCACGUCAAAUCAGCAUGCCCCUUAUGACCUGGGCUACAAACGUGAUACAAUGGCUGUUACAAAGGGUAGCUGAAACGCAAGUUCUUGGCCAAUCCCCAAAAACAGUCCCAGUCCGGAUUGAAGUCUGCAACUCGACUUCUUGAAGUUGGAAUCGCUAGUAAUCGCGAAUCAGCAUGUCGCGGUGAAUACGUUCUCGGGGUUUGUACACACCGCCCGUCAAAC
rnacentral:rRNA from 1 species